GCGCCUCGUGAAUUCAUCUCCGGGGGUAGAGCACUGUUUCGGCUAGGGGGCCAUCCCGGCUUACCAACCCGAUGCAAACUGCGAAUACCGGAGAAUGUUAUCACGGGAGACACACGGCGGGUGCUAACGUCCGUCGUGAAGAGGGAAACAACCCAGACCGCCAGCUAAGGUCCCAAAGUCAUGGUUAAGUGGGAAACGAUGUGGGAAGGCCCAGACAGCCAGGAUGUUGGCUUAGAAGCAGCCAUCAUUUAAAGAAAGCGUAAUAGCUCACUGGUCGAGUCGGCCUGCGCGGAAGAUGUAACGGGGCUAAACCAUGCACCGAAGCUGCGGCAGCGAACGUAUCACCCAAGACAACUUUACGGAGUUGACGAUUGACGGAGCGAAGCGACGUCAAAGCGUUCAUUAAAGUCGAGUUGGCUUAGGGAUACGUUCGUUGGGUAGGGGAGCGUUCUGUAAGCCUGUGAAGGUGUGUCGUGAGGCAUGCUGGAGGUAUCAGAAGUGCGAAUGCUGACAUAAGUAACGAUAAAGCGGGUGAAAAGCCCGCUCGCCGGAAGACCAAGGGUUCCUGUCCAACGUUAAUCGGGGCAGGGUGAGUCGACCCCUAAGGCGAGGCCGAAAGGCGUAGUCGAUGGGAAACGGGUUAAUAUUCCCGUACUUGGUGUUACUGCGAAGGGGGGACGGAGAAGGCUAUGUUGGCCGGGCGACGGUUGUCCCGGUUUAAGCGUGUAGGUGUGUGUUCCAGGUAAAUCCGGUUCACUUUAACACUGAGGCGUGACGACGAGGCACUACGGUGCUGAAGCAACAAAUGCCCUGCUUCCAGGAAAAGCCUCUAAGCAUCAGGUAACACGAAAUCGUACCC
rnacentral:rRNA from 1 species